rnacentral:rRNA from 1 species
GACGAACGCUGGCGGCGUGCCUAACACAUGCAAGUCGAACGGAAAGGCCCGGCUUUUGUGGGGUGCUCGAGUGGCGAACGGGUGAGUAACACGUGAGUAACCUGCCCUUGACUUUGGGAUAACUUCAGGAAACAGGGGCUAAUACCGGAGAGGAGAUCCUGCUGCAUGGUGGGGGUUGGAAAGAGUCGGCGGUUGGGGAUGGAAUAGCGGCUUAUCAGCUUGUUGGUCGGGUAGUGGCAUACCAAGGCUAUGACGGGUAGGCGACCUGGGAGGGUGAACGGCGACCUGGGGCCUGCGGUACGGCGCAGUAGCCUACGGGAGGCAGCAGUGGGGAACAUUGCGGAAUGGGCGGAAGCCUGAUGCGGCAACGCCGGGUGCGUGAUGACGGGCUUCGGGUUGUAAACCGCUUUCGCCGUUGAUGAAGCGUGAGUGACGGUAACGGGUAAAGAAGCACCGGCUAACUACGUG